rnacentral:rRNA from 1 species
UAACGCGAAGAACCUUACCUACUCUUGACAUCCAGAGAACUUAGCAGAGAUGCUUUGGUGCCUUCGGGAACUCUGAGACAGGUGCUGCAUGGCUGUCGUCAGCUCGUGUUGUGAAAUGUUGGGUUAAGUCCCGCAACGAGCGCAACCCUUAUCCUUUGUUGCCAGCGGUUAGGCCGGGAACUCAAAGGAGACUGCCAGUGAUAAACUGGAGGAAGGUGGGGAUGACGUCAAGUCAUCAUGGCCCUUACGAGUAGGGCUACACACGUGCUACAAUGGCGCAUACAAAGAGAAGCGACCUCGCGAGAGCAAGCGGACCUCAUAAAGUGCGUCGUAGUCCGGAUUGGAGUCUGCAACUCGACUCCAUGAAGUCGGAAUCGCUAGUAAUCGUGCUCAGAAUCCUAAAAGCUCCCC